rnacentral:SRP_RNA from 1 species
AAGCUGUAAUGGCUAUGGUGGGAGUCGGUUCGCUAAGUGAUCUACGAUUUAGUUGAAUAAGUAAAUCUUAAUCUGCCCGCUUGGAACUGUUGGAGAUGGUCUACUCGUGUAGGAAACUCACGAAUGAUGGUCCAUCCUAAGAAAUUACUGAAUUUCCCCAGAGAGUCUUCACUCAGCAAGGAACGGUUAACCAACAGUUAGCAUUGCCGGAUUACAGAAGAGGGUAACUAGAUCAUGAUUAUGUUAGGUCGUGGCGACCGCUUUAUU